GUGGGUAUAGCUCAGUGGUAGAGUGCAUGCUCAGCAUGCACAGGGCCCUGGAUUCAACCCCCAGUACCUCCA
rnacentral:tRNA from 1 species